rnacentral:tRNA from 1 species
ACCUGGGUGGCCAAACGGUUAAGCGCUGGGCUACUAACCAAAAGGUUGGCGGUUCAAAUCCACCCAGAGGUG